rnacentral:rRNA from 1 species
AUUCCAGCUCCAAUAGCGUAUAUUAAAGUUGUUGCAGUUAAAAAGCUCGUAGUUGAAUUUUGGACCUGGUUGAAUGGUCCCGCCGCAAGGUGGGUACUGUUUGAUUGGGUCUUUCUUUGCGGGGAAUUAGUGUGCUCUUAAUUGGGUGCAUUAAGGAUCCGUAACUUUUACUUUGAAAAAAUUAGAGUGUUUAAAGCAGGCUUAGGCCUGAAUACAUUAGCAUGGAAUAAUAGAAUAGGACCUGUGUUCUAUUUUGUUGGUUUCUAGGACGUAGGUAAUGAUUAAUAGGGAUAGUUGGGGGCGUUUAUAUUCCGUUGUCAGAGGUGAAAUUCUUGGAUUUAUGGAAGACAAACUAAUGCGAAAGCAUCUACCAAGGAUGUUUUCAUUA